UACGAAGGGGGCUAGCGUUGCUCGGAAUCACUGGGCGUAAAGGGCGCGUAGGCGGCCAUUCAAGUCGGGGGUGAAAGCCUGUGGCUCAACCACAGAAUUGCCUUCGAUACUGUUUGGCUUGAGUAUGGUAGAGGUUGGUGGAACUGCGAGUGUAGAGGUGAAAUUCGUAGAUAUUCGCAAGAACACCGGUGGCGAAGGCGGCAUACUGGACGUUUUCUGACGCUGAGGCGCGAAAGCCAAGGGAGCAAACAGG
rnacentral:rRNA from 1 species